CCCAGACUCCUACGGGAGGCAGCAGUGGGGAAUAUUGCACAAUGGGGGGAACCCUGAUGCAGCGACGCCGCGUGAGUGAAGAAGUAUCUCGGUACGUAAAGCUCUAUCAGCAGGGAAGAAAAUGACGGUACCUGACUAAGAAGCCCCGGCUAACUACGUGCCAGCAGCCGCGGUAAUACGUAGGGGGCAAGCGUUAUCCGGAUUUACUGGGUGUAAAGGGAGCGUAGACGGCACUGCAAGUCCGGAGUGAAAGCCCAAGGCUUAACCAUGGGACUGCUCUGGAAACUGUGGAGCUUGAGUGCGGGAGGGGCAGGCGGAAUUCCUAGUGUAGCGGUGAAAUGCGUAGAUAUACGGAGGAACACCAGUGGCGAAGGCGGAUUGCUGGACAGUAACUGACGCUGAGGCGCGAAAGCGUGGGGAGCAAACAGGAUUAGAUACCCCAGUAC
rnacentral:rRNA from 1 species